GGGAAAGAACCUAUAAAGUAAAGGAGUCCGGAAACUUCCUAUCUUUCUAACAGUACGAGAUACGUUUAACAGAAGCUCGGAAGAGAAGAUAGAUAGAUAGAGAAGUUUUCGAUCCGAAGAUGAAACCGCUAUCAAGACAUCAAAUUCAGCUAUCAAGUCCCACAAAUCCAUUGAAAUCCAUUGUUAUUGGCCCACAAGUGUCAAAAAUAGAGUGCAGUGGCCCACCCUGCUCUGCCUUAUCAACCAUGUUGAAGAAUAUGAAAAUUAUAUGAAGUAAUGCUCUGUUAAAAAUGAAGUAAUGUCAUGAAAUUCACGUGAAGUAAAAAAUCAACAAUAGAAUUGCUUCAAAUUUCCUGUUUCUUCAAGAACUACAGCCAGCGGUUUCAUCGUCAAAAAUCCUUCAAAUUAACUUGUUUUCAUUUAAUAUUUUAUUCUUUUUAUUUAUAUUUUUAUGUUCAGAGACUUAAUUUUUAAAUAGAAAUUGAAUUUAAAUUUUUAAAAAUUACAAAUACAAAUACUAAAUAGUAUGAAUACGAUUUCAAUUUGUUUGUGCAAAACUUUUAUAUCAUUAAAAGUUUUGCAUUCAACAUUUCAUACAUAUCAAACAU